UACGGGGGGGGCAAGCGUUGUUCGGAAUUACUGGGCGUAAAGGGCGUGUAGGCGGCCAACUAAGUCCGACGUGAAAUCCCCAGGCUUAACCUGGGAACUGCGUCGGAUACUGGAUGGCUUGAAUCCGGGAGAGGGAUGCGGAAUUCCAGGUGUAGCGGUGAAAUGCGUAGAUAUCAGGAAGAACACCCGUGGCGAAGGCGGCUCUCUGGACGGCAACUGACGCUGAGGCACGAAAGCGUGGGGAGCAAACAGG
rnacentral:rRNA from 1 species